GGGGCUGUGGCGGAAUUGGCAGACGCGCUAGAUUUAGGUUCUAGUUCCGAAAGGAGUGCAGGUUCGAUUCCUGUCAGCCCCA
rnacentral:tRNA from 2 species